UCAACAAAAGAAAAAAGAAAGCUUCCAAUCUCAUUUUAUCUCCAUUACUUUCUACACCAAAAUUGGGUCCCACAACCCGGUUCUUUGUCUAGAGGAUAGCAGUUGAGUACUAGUGGUGGUCUCGGGUAGAAUUGGUAAGAAGACAUCAAACCUUUUGAAAGCUUCAAAGGUAAUACUUCUUAAAACCCUAAUUUGAUUAGUUUAUGGUUAGAUGUUAAUUGUGGCAAUUAGGGUAGAAAUUCGAUUCUUUUUCCGCUGUGCAUGAAUUGGUUCUAUCAAUUCUCUCCAGUAACAGUUGAAGUCUAUUGACUACUAAUAGUAUUGAAUUUUCAAUUUUCAAUUUUUACACAAAUCUCUUUACAAAGAAGGAUGGCUCAUGGUUCUUACCCACAAAAUGUUAAGUAGAGUCUAAUUUCUACUAAUAAUAUUUCUGCUCUUGAAGACCUAUUUUCUGAAGAGGAGGUUUGAACUAUUUCUUCUCUUGGUGCUAAUAAGUCCUUCUGUUUGGAUGGUUUUACAGCAAAAAUUUUCAAAUUUUUUGGGACUACUUUAAAAUGUCCUAUAUUAUGAAUGUGGUUCACGAUUUCUUUGGCUUUGAAAUGAUCAAUGUCUCCCUGAAUGAAACCUAUAUUUGUCUGAUCCCCAAGAAAAAGGAUCCAAAGGUGGUCUCAGAUUACCGGUCAAUUAUCAUCAUUUUGUGUGCUUACAAGGUUACUUCUUGAGUAUUAUUGAAUCGAUUGAAACAUGUUCUUUCUUCAACCAUUAAUUUGAAUAAACUUGCUUCUGUUGAAGAUAGACAAAUACUAGAUGUAUUCCUUGUGGCAAACGAAUUGGUUGCAUGAAAAAGAGAAUGAUGUGAUUAUUAAACUUGAUCUUAAAAUGGCAUUUGAUACGGCUGAUUGGGACUUCUUAGUUGCAAUUCUUUAGGCUAAAGGCUUUGAAAGGGUUUGGCGUAAGCGGAUAAAUGGAUACGUCUCUAGUGCAAUUUUUUCAUCAUCAUUAAUGGUAGACCUAGAGGUAAAAUUAUCCCCAUUUGUCGUAUUAAACAAGGUGAUCCACUUUCUCCUUUUCUAUUUAUAUUGGUUAUCGAUUGCUUAAGUCGUCUGUUGAACUACUGUCUAUCUAAAAACUUGAUAGCCACUCCCCCUAUUGGUGCUUCUAGUUUUAUACUGAAUCACUUUUAAUUUGCUGACAAUAUUUUGCUCUUUUCCACUAUUGAUCGUGCUACACUUACAUGUUUGUUUGAGGUUAUUUAUGUCUUUGAAUAAGCUUCCGGCUUAGGUCUUAAUCUCUUUACAAGUGAGCUUUUAGGCAUUCAUAUCUCUGAUGAUGAUCUAGAUUGGAUGAUGUCUGCUUUUGGGUAUAAAAGGGAACAUUAGGUAGCUUCUUAUACUGGAAAUACGUCUAUAGCUUCAAGGGUAGUCGUCAAACAUUUAUAUAAGUCAUUCCUUCAAGCUUGCCUAUGAUAGAAAGGGGUAGACGCGCGUAGCGAAAUACAUAUCAAAUUUUACCCUAUUUGCAUCUAAACUAUUUAGAAAUUAACAAGCAACAUUAUCCUAAUUAAAAGAAAUUAGGGUUAAUAGAAAACUCAUACCUUUGAAGCUUCUCGAUCCUCGUAUUCUCCUCACGAACACGAACCAUAAUUCAUCACUAGUGUUGACUAGCUAUUCUCCAGACUUAGAACUGGAUUGUGAGACCCUAAUGAAGAAAUUGAUAAAGAGAUAUGGAAAUUAGAGGUGUGGCUUAGGGUUGAGAGUUUGAAAAAAAUUUGGAUUUUACCUUUUAAGUCAACAAUACAAAAAUAACCAAAAUUCAAAAUUUUUUACUCAUUUGAAAAGUUGCCCGUAAAUCUCAACACCUAACAUUCCACUAGUCAUUAGUGAAAUUUAGUGGGUUAGGGUUUAGGGUUUUACAUUCCAUGUAGCCAUUUAUCCCAUUAUUUGCUAUUGGGAUUAUCCAAAAAAAUGUUGGAUUUUUUCACUAACUUUAGUCAAAAGGCAAAAUGGUCAUUUGACCAUUCAAGUCAAAGUCAAACUUAGUUCUUUUCAAGUAAAAAGUCAACAUUUUGAAUUUUUACUAUUUUAUUCGUCUUGACUAAUUCCAACCUCCUAAGCAUAAAUCUAGAUUCAUUUUUCAGAAAUUCAAAUCACAUUUGAACAUAUAACGGGUCAAAGUUUAACUUUUAAAAGUUAAAGUCAACUCUUUGACUUUUUACAACUUUGGUCAUUUCCAUUCGAGCUUACGAAUAUGAAUAUGCAUUCAUAUUUUUAAUAUUUAAAUCAUAUUAAACAUAAAACUCUAUCUCUAACUAAUAACCGAUGGCUAUAUCACAUAUAGUUGUUAGUUUAUCUCUCUUUACCUAAUUUGAACAAUUCGAAUUAUUCCAUCAUAUUGUUCUAAGUUUUUUCCAUAUGAGCUAGCAAGGUAACCUAAUGGACCUAUAGAUCAUGGGCUCGAACGAUUCAAGAUUAACUAACUAAACUCUUUUAGACUGAGCUAAUCAACAUUUGUUAACUAACGAGUCAUUGCACUAAAGUAUUUUAGAGUGAUGCAAUGUCCAGAAAAAAGGUGAGUUGACCUUGCAGUAUUUUUACUUCAAGGAAGGGCUGAAGAAAGGUGGAUACUUGAAGAGAAUAUGCAAGGAAGGGUAAGCUGGGAGGAGUUCAAAGAAUUAUUUUAUGGUAAAAUUUUCUCCCAGGCUUUUAGAGAUGAGAAACGAGAUGAGUUCCUUUGGAACAAGAGAACUCUCAGUUGCGAAAUAUAAAAAAAAAUUUACCGAGUUGAUUAGAUAUGCAAUGGCCAUUGUGGAUAUAGAAAGAGAGAGAUGUAGAAAGUUGAAAAUGGUUUAAGAACAGAAAUUAGAACUUCUGUCAUGACUAUUGGAGUAAGAUAUGAUUAUGCGGAGAUGGUAGACACGACUCUACGCGUUGAGAAAAACUUGAAAGGAAAGAGAUCAAGUUCAUGAUGAAGUGAAGAAGAAGAAAAAGAUAUUGUUGGAGAUUUUAGCAAGAAUCUACGCCUAUCAUUAGUCAAGAAUCACCUUGGAAUGGUGACAUGAGAUAGAGAUGUGCUAAAUGCAAAAAGAGGUAUUCAAGGAUUUGUAAGUGGAAAAACAUUGUUUGUUUUACGUGUGGAAUCGUAGGGCAUUAUUAGAAUAAAUGUACGAAAAAGACUAAAGUUAACGAGGAAUCAACGCAAACUGAAGUGACGUCCCACUAAGUUCAACAACCUAUAUGAGGAGGCUUUGUGGUAGGCAAGGGAAAAAUGGUUGUGGAUAUAGAAUUUUGAGGACAAAUUUCUUAAAGGAGGGGAGAGUUGUGAGACCCAUGUUUGGAAUAGAAGAGUAAAAAAUUUGACCAAGUAAUAAUUAGGUGUUUUGAGAAGAAGCAUGUGUUUUGAAGUUUGCACUAAGAUGAGGCGAGAUAAAUGACUAUUAAGCAUUUUGAAUUUACCAUACAAAAUGAAACCAGGCAAGGAGAUGUCUAAUCUGACUUGACAAGGGUUACAUGUUAAGCUGAAAGUUAAGUAAGAUUAAGUAAAAUUUUGAGCUUACAUGUGUAAUACCUUAAGUUGGAGCUGGUAGUAUUUUAGAAGCUUUGUGAUGUCUAAUCCAACUUAAGGAUCAAUAUAAAUAGAGGAAGACAACAAAAAGUUAAGGAUUUUAUUCCGUGAAUUUGUGAAAUGAAGUGUUAUUCUGCUGGGUUGCUUCUAGGUGAGAAGAAGAAGAAGUGAAGCUAGACAUUUUGCGAGAAGGGAUAAAUCAAGUCUUUGUGAGUGAUUUUCCAAAGUGUUUGUAUAUUUUUAAUAUUUCAUUUAUGUUUAGAGGUUGGUAAAAGAAUGAUUUUAAAGUAUUUGAAAUGAAAGAUUAUAUUUUAAAGACAUGUUAUUUGUUAAAAUGAAUGAUAAAGUAUGUUUUAAGCAUCAAUAUUAAUCCUAUCAAAGAUCCAAUUGUUAUGUGUACAUAGGGCUAAAGGCAACCAUUUAGAAAAGGCUUGCAUGUGGUGGAGUGAAGUCGGCUAAUGUACAAAAGAUGUGCAUUGUGUUAGGCAGUCCGAGCAACAUGGAUUGAACUCAUAGUAGUCUAAGCACAAGUCAAUGAGUCUUGGAGUAGGGAAUGGUUCAUGUUCUCGACGAAAGAGAUGCAAGACUAAUGUGUGUUUAUAUGAAAUGAUAUUUAUAAAAUGUAUUUCCAUAGGGUUUCUCUGAAAACCUCACCAAGUCUUUUGACUUAUGUUUUAAGUUUUCACUUCCGAGAUGACCAGGCGUUAAGGCCAAUGUUGAAGGGAUAAAAACCCUAUGGCAACAGAAGAAUUUACAAACCAUUUCUCAAAUUAAUUUAAGAAUCUCAAAAUACCACUGGCAAAAU
rnacentral:lncRNA from 1 species